rnacentral:rRNA from 1 species
CCUACGGGCGGCAGCAGUGAGGAAUAUUGGUCAAUGGGCGCGAGCCUGAACCAGCCAAGUCGCGUGAGGGAGGACGGCCCUACGGGUUGUAAACCUCUUUUGCCGGGGAACAACGGGCGUCACGUGUGGCGCCACUGAGAGUACCCGGAGAAAAAGCAUCGGCUAACUCCGUGCCAGCAGCCGCGGUAAUACGGAGGAUGCGAGCGUUAUCCGGAUUUAUUGGGUUGAAAGGGUGCGUAGGCGGAUCGUUAAGUCGGUGGUAAAAUUGGGGGGCUCAACCCCUUCCCGCCAUUGAAACUGGCGCUCUUGAGUGGAAGAGAGGUAUGCGGAAUGCGUGGUGUAGCGGUGAAAUGCAUAGAUAUCACGCAGAACCCCGAUUGCGAAGGCAGCAUGCCGGCUUCCGACUGACGCUGAAGCACGAAAGCGUGGGGAUCGAACAGGAUUAGAUACCCCUGUAGUC